UACGUAGGGGGCAAGCGUUGUCCGGAUUUACUGGGCGUAAAGAGCGCGCAGGCGGUCGUCCAAGUCGCGUGUGAAAGCCCCCGGCUCAACUGGGGAGGGUCAUUCGAUACUGUUCGACUCGAAGGCAGGAGAGGGAAGUGGAAUUCCCGGUGUAGUGGUGAAAUGCGUAGAUAUCGGGAGGAACACCAGUGGCGAAGGCGACUUCCUGGCCUGUUCUUGACGCUGAGGCGCGAAAGCUAGGGGAGCAAACGGG
rnacentral:rRNA from 1 species